rnacentral:hammerhead_ribozyme from 1 species
GUACUGCUGAAGAGUCCCACACUAGGACGAGACAGCUGUCUAGUAC